UACAGAGGUCUCAAGCGUUGUUCGGAUUCAUUGGGCGUAAAGGGUGCGUAGACGGCUCGGUAAGUCGGGUGUGAAAUCUCGGGGCUUAACUCCGAAACUGCAUUCGAUACUGCCGUGCUUGAGGACUGGAGAGGAGACUGGAAUUUACGGUGUAGCGGUGAAAUGCGUAGAUAUCGUAAGGAAGACCAGUGGCGAAGGCGGGUCUCUGGACAGUUCCUGACGCUGAGGCACGAAGGUCAGGGGAGCAAACGGG
rnacentral:rRNA from 1 species